CCUACGGGGGACAGCAGUGAGGAAUAUUGGUCAAUGGACGAGAGUCUGAACCAGCCAAGUAGCGUGAAGGAUGACUGCCCUAUGGGUUGUAAACUUCUUUUAUAUGGGAAUAAAACGUUCCACGUGUGGGAUUUUGUAUGUACCAUAUGAAUAAGGAUCGGCUAACUCCGUGCCAGCAGCCGCGGUAAUACGGAGGAUCCGAGCGUUAUCCGGAUUUAUUGGGUUUAAGGGGAGCGUAGGUGGAUUGUUAAGUCAGUUGUGAAAGUUUGCGGCUCAACCGUAAAAUUGCAGUUGAAACUGGCAGUCUUGAGUACAGUAGAGGUGGGCGGAAUUCGUGGUGUAGCGGUGAAAUGCUUAGAUAUCACGAAGAACUCCGAUUGCGAAGGCAGUUCACUGGACUGCAACUGACACUGAGGCUCGAAAGUGUGGGUAUCAAACAGGAUUAGAUACCCCUGUAGUC
rnacentral:rRNA from 1 species